rnacentral:lncRNA from 10 species
CCACCGAUGGCUGUUGGGGCCCCAUUCAAAUUGGCAACAGGCCACAGAUUGACUAUUCCAGCAUGGAGAUGCCCUGAGUACAUGGGUGGCUGAUUCAGCAGUGUUUUAGAUCACAGGGGAAUUUCCAAAUCUAAGACUGGAAGGAAAGCUCCUCCGCCCAGGGAAGAAGACAGAAUUGUUACUGGGGCAACCCCUAAGAGUUUAGGGCAAUCAAAAUGCCCAAUCCUCUUGCUCUAUACAUAGGGAGAUUAUCUUUGCCUAGAGGAUUGCUCACACCAGGAAAAAACUACCAGUCCUUCAGGCCCUGAGGUGUGCCAGGUAAAGUCCUGGGCAAGGAAAAGUGGCCCAAGAAAGAAGCUCAUCUGGUACCUCCUCUCCCUACUCCUCACUCUGGACAGCAGAGACCCUAUAGGGGAUGAGGAGAAAGAGGCCAGGCAGGCAGGCGAGGAAUGGCUGUCCCAUCCACACCCAGGGUGGAAAACGGCUACAAGAGAGCACCUUCAUGUUUUAAUUAGGGUCUCUUUCUUGGAGACAGUAGAGAUCUGAUUCUACCUCUGCCACUUGCCAGAUUCAUAAGCUUUGUCAAGUUUCUGAGUCUACUCAUGUACAAAAUGGAAAUAGUAGUUACCUCUCUCAUAGGGUUGUUAUGAGAAAUGAGAUAAGUUACCACAAUGUCUUGAGCUAAAAAGCGAAAUCAUUAACAAAAUAAUUGGCCUGUGUCAAAAUUUUUGUUUCAAUUCAUUAAUGAGAGAACCAGUGAGGAAGACUUUUUUGAACUGGUUUGAAAGAUAUUAAGAAUAUGAAAGACAGUUAGAAAGUAAUGUCUAAGAUUCUUAAUUUAGACACAAGACUAGAUACAAGUCUUUUGACUUUUCAUAGGGUGACAAAAACAAACCAUAACAGUUUUGGGUUUAAUGUCUUGACCAGCCUAUAAAGCCAUAUUGCCCUAUCCAUCAGAGGUAAACUGUCUACAUCAUCUGUUAUGAAUUGCUAUCAAACAUGCUUUGCCGAUCACUUUUCUCAAAAGUGUCAGAUGAGGUCUAGUAGCAAGGACCUUCUUUUUUUCAGACAGACUCUAGCAUGAGAUCAAAAAUAUAAGCAAUCAUCAGUUUGCCUUUUUCCAGGUUUGAGAUGAUUUUUUUUCUUUCACACUGACACAUAGCUGGAGCCCAGUAAGUGUUGGUAGCUUUCCCUCCCCUCUUCAGCCCAUUUCAAUUUAGACUGAAUUCCCCCAGGCAGGAGGGCAGAAAAUGGGCUGGGUUCUGGACCCAAUCAAAAUUGUUCUGGUUCCCAAGUGGAGGGAUAAACAGGAAAAUCUUUUCCAUUGGAAUAAGGCCUUUUGCUCAGCCACUGUAGACCGACUGCCCAAGUCCAGAUUCUCUCCAUGCCCUUUAAGACUUUUGUCACAACCACCAGGAACACACCUGAAGUCAGGACACUUGGGCGAAGAACUUGGAAGGAAAAGCAAGACUUCAAACAGGUCAUCCUUAUAGGACCCAGAAAUCAUAGUUGCCAGAUCUGCUUCAAUUGAGCUGGGGAAACAGGAAACAAAGUCAUCUUGCUCUGGGCCACAAGUCCUGUCUGAUUCUGCCCAGUCAGUGUGGUUUCGGUAAUGGGCACGGUCUUGUUUGUAAAUCAUCAUCUCCAAGCCUGCGUCCUCUGGGAAGCUUCCAAGGCCUGCCUCUCUCACUUCUCUUCUCCAGAUGGCCAGUGACAGCUGGGCCACCUCCCCUGCCCAACUGUGCACUCAAGAAUCAACUGUCGACCCAAUUCUUCACAACCAGUACCCAUCACUUAUGGUGAAACUCCAAAGGGCACCGUGGGCCACCUUCCUCUUCUGGUAGGCUCAGAAAAAGAAGACUUAUUGGACUUCCAAGUAAUGGCAGACAACUGAGAAUAGUAACUCUCCCCAAAAGAAUCCAUUGACAGCAAGUCCAAUAGUGCACUUUCAAGGGGAAUCAAAGGCGCUGGGAUAGGUUGCCCCUCACCACCCUGACACACACACACACCCCACCACCACCACUGCCACCACCAAUGUGGAUAGCUGAAAGGCAGAAUCAGGGUACUCGCUCCUUUUUUGUACUCCUGUUACUAUCUUUUCUCUUGUGAGUUCCCCUAAAUGUUGAGUUGACCUGAGAUGUGGCUUGGUGAACCCUGGAACCUUUCCCACCUUUUUUAGCCUGGGCCACAUUCAGGUCAGCUGCUCACCUUUGCACUAUAUAUUGGAGAAAACUAUAGCAAGAUCACUGUGGUGUCUCUCAGAGCUCCAUAAUCUCCGUUUCUGCAAUGCGGAGUGUAUUCCACACUCCUGACUUAAGCAGAAGCACUGGCUUGGGAGGAUGGAUAGAUAUCCUUCAGCAAAACUGAGAAGAAAGUAAUUUAAUGCCUAGGCCUUCCUCCUUGCCCCAGCAGAAGCCCAUCUCCACAUUCUGAUGACUAAAUUUUCCCAUCCCAUCUUAGAUGCCAAUCUUAACUUUCAGCUGGCUGCCAACCAUUUUCACUAAUAUGUUAGCUGAUAACACAUAAAAUUGACUGGUAAUUAAAAAUAUUGGUGAAUAAGGGCUUAAACUAUUACCUUUCCCUGCUCAUUUAUAUUUUAUAUGAUUAAGGCCUACUACAAGAAAAAGCCCAGUGACCUGAACUGAGUAAUCUUCAGCACUGGAAACCAGUUAAUCUGAGUGGCAUUUUGCUAAUGGUAGGAAAAGGGUUUGCUCCUCCUGAAAUCCUAGGGAAUUGGUUACCUCCUCUUCUCCUCUUGAGCAUGAAGCAUGUCUAGCUUCUCCAAAGAACCCCUCCCCUCCACUAUCCCAGAGUUAGCUUCCUCUCUUCAGCCCAUGAUCCUGGGGUUCCAAGCACAGUAAUUAUCCCAGAGAGGGUGGAAGGCUCCCUGCUGUAUUUAGUAACUCGCCCCGCAAAGAAUCAAUUGACAGCAAGUCCAACAGUGCACUUCCAAGGGGAAUCAAAAGCACUGGGAUAGGUUGCACUCCCGCCCUGACAUACACACACACGUGCACAGACCCCACCAUACCCCACCAUAAGUACUGGUAGCUUUUUCUCCCCUCUUCAGCCCAUUUGAAUUUAGACUGAAUUCCCCUAGGCAGGAGGGCAGAAAAUGGGCUGGGUUCUGGACCCAAUCAAAAUUGUUCUGGUUCCCUAGUGGAGGAAUAAACAGGAAAAUAUUUUCCAUUGAAAUAAGGUCUUUUGUUCAGCCACUGUAUACUGUACUUAGGCAAUGGCUGGGGCCCUUGUGCGGUGCAGAGGGACACCAAGCAGCUUCCAUCUUCCAGGCCGGGGUG